rnacentral:rRNA from 1 species
CACGUAGUUAGCCGGUACUUAUUCUUCAGGUACCGUCAUUAGCGAAGGAUAUUAGCCUUCACCGUUUCUUCCCUGACAAAAGAGCUUUACAACCCGAAGGCCUUCUUCACUCACGCGGCAUUGCUGGAUCAGGCUUUCGCCCAUUGUCCAAAAUUCCCCACUGCUGCCUCCCGUAGGAGUCUGGACCGUGUCUCAGUUCCAGUGUGGCUGGUCGUCCUCUCAGACCAGCUACUGAUCGUGGCCUUGGUGAGCCUUUACCUCACCAACUAGCUAAUCAGAUAUCGGCCGCUCCAGGAGCACAAGGUCCGAAGACUCCCCUGCCUUUCAUCCUUAGAUCGUAUGGCGGUAUUAGGCGUUAACUUUCGCUUACGUUACUCCCCCACUCUUGGUACGUUCCGAUAUAUUACUCUACCCGUUCGCCUACGUCCGCCGUCCAGGGUUCGCCCCCGCGCCUCGCCGUUCGACUUGCAUGUAGUAAGCAUCGCCGCAGCGUUACAA